UCUAACGUGGCAGAAAGUGCGGUAAAUUUAAGAUUUAUAAAAGAAGUUGGCUCCACUUCCUUUAGAA
rnacentral:tRNA from 1 species